CAGGGUGGCCAUACCACCCUGAAUACGCCCGAUCUCGUCUGAUCUCGGAAGCUAAGCAGGGUUGGGCCUGGUUAGUACUUGGAUGGGAGACCACCUGGGAAUACCAGGUGCUGUAAGUG
ensembl:rRNA 5S_rRNA 5S ribosomal RNA